UACAGAGGUCUCAAGCGUUGUUCGGAUUCAUUGGGCGUAAAGGGUGCGUAGGCGGCGCGGUAAGUCGGGUGUGAAAUCUCGGGGCUUAACUCCGAAACUGCAUUCGAUACUGCCGUGCUUGAGGACUGGAGAGGAGACUGGAAUUUACGGUGUAGCAGUGAAAUGCGUAGAUAUCGUAAGGAAGACCAGUGGCGAAGGCGGGUCUCUGGACAGUUCCUGACACUGAGACACGAAGGCCAGGGGAGCAAACGGG
rnacentral:rRNA from 1 species